GUUCACUUUAUUUUCAAAUUCAUUACAACCAAAAUCAGAACAGUGGUGAAGGAAAGGACCUCAGCAUCCCAAUCAAAAGGUACAUAGAAUAGAAUUAUCAUCGAUGCAAAAACUCAUGAAGUCCGCUCAAAUAGAAGGUGAAAACUUCACGGAUCAUAGCUCAUCUCCCCAACACACUCGGAAUUCUCAAUAGACUCUUUGGCAGGUGACUGAGCAGGCAACCGGGUGUGGAUUCUUGUAUGAGUUUUUAAGGUUCCCUUCAGAGAGAAUCUUUUGCCACAAACUGUGCAUGAAAAAGGUUUCUCGCCAGUGUGGGUUCUUGUGUGAAUGGUUAAAUGUCCCCUAUGAGAGACUCUUUUGCCACAAACUGAGCAUGAAAAAGGUUUCUCGCCAGUGUGGAUUCUAGUGUGCGUGUUUAAAUGUCCCCUAUUAGAGAAUCUUUGGCCACAAACUGAGCAGGAAAAAGGUUUCUCACCAGUGUGGAUUCUUGUGUGUGUGUUUAAAUGUCCCCUAUGAGAGAAUUUUUGGCCACAAACUGAGCAUGAAAAAGGUUUCUCACCAGUGUGCAUUCUUGUAUGAAUUUUUAAAUAUCCCCCCUGAGAGAAUUCUUUGCCACAAACUGAGCAUGAAUAAGGUUUCUCACCAGUGUGGGUUCUUGUAUGAAUUGUUAGAGUUCCCUUCCGAUAAAAUCUUUUGC